rfam:Triticum aestivum genome assembly, contig: Triticum_aestivum_CS42_TGACv1_scaffold_407531_5BL
GAGCUACUCCCUCCGUUCCGAAUUACUUAUCUUAGAUUUGUCUAGAUACGGAUGUAUCUAGCACUAAAAUGAGUCUAGAUUCAUCCGUAUCUAGACAAAUCUAAGACAAGUAAUUCGGAACGGAGGGAGUAGCUA